rnacentral:rRNA from 1 species
UGGGGAAUUUUGCACAAUGGGGGAAACCCUGAUGCAGCGACGCCGCGUGAUUUAGAAGGCCUUCGGGUUGUAAAAAUCUUUUUUACGGGAUGAAAAUGACAGUACCGUAAGAAUAAGGUCCGUCUAAAUACGUGCCAGCAGCCGCGGUAAUACGUAUGGACCGAGCGUUGUCCGGAAUCAUUGGGCGUAAAUGGUACGUAGGCGGCCUAGUAAGUUAGAAGUGAAAUAAUAUAGCUCAACUAUAUAAAGCUUUUAAAACUGCUAGGCUUGAGAGAUGGAAGGGAAAGUGGAAUUCCUAGUGUAGCGGUGAAAUGCGCAGAUAUUAGGAAGAAUACCGGUGGCGAAGGCGACUUUCUGGUCAUCAUCUGACGCUGAGGUACGAAAGCGUGGGUAGCAAACAGG